CCGGGGCGUCUGCAGUGGCCCUCGGGGCAGGCAGGAAUGGGGGGGGGUCGGCCCCGGCCGGGGCGGGGGGGGGCGGGGGCGGCUGCGCCCUCCUCCCUCCUCCCAGCGGCGUGAGAUGGGUCCUGGCCGGGGCGUCUGCAGUGGCCCUCGGGGCAGGCAGGUUCCAGAGGUCCAGGCGCCCCAUCCCGUCCACGCAGGCGAAGAGCGCGGGGUGCACGGGGGACCACAUGACGUCGUACACGUAGUCGGCGUUGUCUUCAAAGGAGUAGAGCGGCUUGUUGUGCUGUGGAGCGGAGAGACCGUGAGGGCCCCGGUCGGGCGAGCCUGAUUACGGACUUUGCACGUUCACAAAGUGCCAUAAAACUCCCCGAGAUGAAAGUCCUCGAAAAGCGAAUAUUGUCACAUCAAAAUAGCACAGAAGUCGGAGGCAAGUCUGAAAGUACACCAGAAAUAAAAUAAAUCUAAACAAUGGGAGUUUUUUUUCCACAACGUCUUCUUCAUCCAGUCAGCUGUCUGUAUUCUCUUCAUGGGUUCGACUAAAUGCCUGGGCAGACCAGAGUAAGAAGAGAAAAAAAACAUAACACAAAAUAUGAACGAUCAAAUCCUUUACGCACGGGAUAUGCAAAGAACGUUAUCUGUAGGUGACAGCUCCAAAUGUCAGAGCGGACUUCCAAAGCGUACUGCUGGCAAAGGUAACAUGCACAGAAUGCAUGUGCUGAAGUCAAAGUGAGAAAAAUCCGUGCGAAGACAAUAACCUGGGGCAAAGACUGGUGAAGGUGGCAGUAACUAAGUGAUUUCUCGUUUCAUGAAUCACAUUGCUUUGGCAUUGCUCAGCACUGAACACAAUUAUAUAAUACUAGUAAAGCAACGCAGAAGACUUUAGAGGGCCACUGCGCAUGAGGGGCAUAGGUAGAUGGGUGAGAUGUGUUUUACUUGCAAAAAAAUGUCUAAUGUGGGAAUGAUUUGAAAAAGAACGUAAGAUAUUGGGACCUCAAAAUCGAAAGGGUAGACAUUAGCCUUAUGGUUUUAUAUUUUAAUAUUCUAUGACUCUUUUAUGUCAGAACGUUUACUAUAAAUCAUGCUUGCCGCGUGAUUUCAAGGUAAAAUUAUUUGCGCAGUUGCUAUUUAUGCAGCUUCUUGCUUUCUCUCGUGCUUUGGACUAGGUGAUUCAAACUACCUUAUCCAGAGAAUCUGAAUAUCCAGUGACAGACACUUCCAAGUGGCAUGACUGCAUCAUUAUUCCUUACUGAGCUGGAGUAGCUGGUCCUUCCUCGACCACUUGUGAAUACUAAAUUAUUUAACUCUUAGUAAAAGACUAGUCCCGCCCCAAAUUCUUGAUGUUAUCGUUAGCCAGUCACUAUUUGUUAAAGACCACGAAUAACACAUUUUCUUCAAAUCAAAGGGUGGAAAACACAUGCUUAAAAGCGUCAAUUCUCAGUAUCCUCUCUCGGUGACCCCGCUGAUAAUAUAACUGAGUGUACGGAGGUCUAGAUGGAGACAUACACAGACAGACAGACAUGAAACACAUACCACAUCUGCAGUCCUUGUUCUGAUCAAUUAUAAAACCACCCAACCUUAAACAGUCAUUUUCUAGGAAGCCAAUAUUAUCUGAUACAUUAGUUCUCGAGAUAAAUUAUCCUGUUAAUCUCUACUUUGUGUCUUUCCUUUUUUCUUUUAGUUGCUGUUUCUGCGAGAAACUUAGUCAAAAUUGUAAUAUAUCCUGGAGACUUCACUUUUUAAACAUCUGGAAAUAACAGCUAUUGUUCAUGACUUACCAAAAUCCAAUUUUCUCCUGCUUAAUAGUAUAGUUUGAAAUGCUAUUACUGUCUAGGUUUUCUUCCAAUGUCCUCACCCCCCCCCCCCGACCCUCCAGACGGAAGCUCCCACUGCAAGAAUCACUGGCAUGUUCUUCUAGGCUGCAGUAUGCACCCGUUUAGGGAAAGGAAGAAGGGCUUGCAUUUUCAAAGGCUUUGUUUUAACGUGGAUAAAUUCACAGGUUGGGAGGGUCUUUGUCGGGAUUGAACCCCCUGUCAGGAUACCUGGUGGACCAGCAGUGAGGAACCACUGGUUCCCAAGUAUAACCUGGUACAAGCAGACAGGCAUAGGUUAAUGCCACUCUUCCAUUAUUAAGCAGUGCUGUUUUGAAUAUUGAUUGUACUUUUUUGAUAAAGGAAUUCUUUGGUCUUUUUUAUUUUAAGGGGCUCAACGGGUAAUCUGAAAACCCCAUUAAAAAUUUGGUGAUGGAGACGAAGGAGCACACUUGUCGUGAGGAGCACCAGGUGGAAGUGCUUAAUCACUAUACUGUAUACCUGCAACUAAUAUAGCACCCUAUGGUAACUAACUGGAAUUAAAAUAAAA